rnacentral:tRNA from 1 species
GCCCGGCUGGCUCAGUUGGUGGAACAUGAGACUCUUGAUCUCAGGGUUGUGAGUUUGAGCCCCACGUUGGGAG